AGUGUACUUGAUAUGAAGGGAAUGUGGACCCUCAGGACUAAAAGCAGUGGGAGAGGCCUGGGAGGUGGGGCCUGGGUAGGCGGGGUCUGCUCUGACGUCACGAAGCCCCUGAUGGUAGAGGAGACGGUGGGCGCAGGCUCUGGAGGCCCAAGCGGAAGAGGGGAAGGAGGUGAGCCCGGGAACCCUCGGCCAAUGAGAGAGGGCUGAGGCGGGGCUGCUACGGGGCUUAGCACUGCGGGGCUCUGCGCGGGAACGCUAACCUGGUCCGGAGCCGGCCUCGGUCUCAGCCCCGCGGGCGGCCUUUCCCGAGUCUUCAACCCUUCAGUCUAUCUUCUAGUCAAGAUGAGUGAUAAACCAGACUUGUCGGAAGUGGAGAAGUUUGACAGGUCAAAACUGAAGAAAACUAAUACUGAAGAAAAAAAUACUCUUCCCUCAAAGGAAACUAUCCAGCAGGAGAAAGACUGUGUCCAAACAUCAUAAAAUGGGGAUCUCCUCUCAAGAGCAGAUUUCAACAUUUCCUGACGGUCUUGGUUUUAGGCUUGUUUUUUUGGUAAACCUAUGUGUUUGUAGAGAUUUCAGGCAUCUUCUGAUUUCUUCUCACCUAUAUUUCCUGGCUAAGAGAUCUGGGGUAGUGAAUGUUUCCUUAAGUUCCUUUCUAAACUUCCCAUUGGUAUGUAAACUCCAAAUGGCAGAUGCCGUCAAUAAUCUUGCCAUUGAUGACAGUUGUGUGUGUAGUCCUUCCACCUCAUACAGGAGAAGCCAAUUCUAACCUUCUACAACGGGUGCCUCAAUUGUUUCAUAAUCUUCAUGAAGUUGCAUCCUUUGGCAACAUCUUACAGUUUAUUUUCACCUCCAAUGUCGCAAUAAAGUAAUACAUAUAAUCAUUAUCAUGUGACUCUUGUAGUUCAUUCUGGUAAUAUUCUAAGGAAUGAAAAGUACAUAAGGCUACCUUUUCAGCCAAACAAAGUGGUUGAAGGAAAACUGCUAGCAGAUUAUUCAUGGGGGGAAAUAAUCAAUUUUGUCCAGGUCCAGUGAGUCCUGACUUGGGGAUGCUAGGUGCUCUUUCUUUAGAGUUGGAACCACAGAGUUACAGAACCUUGGGAGAGAAGGUCAUGUGGACUAACCUCCAUAUCUCAGAACAAAGAAAUGAAAACAAAGGGUCUCAUGUGAUCUGUUCAAGCUGAAUAAGGGCUGGAGUUCAAGCUGGGUUCUCUUGCCUUCUGGAAACUUUUUCGGCUUAAUGGGAGUUAAUAUCCAAGACUGAAGGUGGCUGUCUAUGUGCCAAGAAGGGAGCCCUCACCAGAAUCUGACCUUGCUGGAUGUCAACUUGAGAUUUCUAGAAUCUAGAAUUGCAGAUAUGACCUUA